AAACUUAAAAAAUAGGCGGAUAUUCUGAAAUCAUCGCGUGUUCGCUUGUUGUUUUUUUAUCAGGCAAAAAUGCAAGACCAGAGAUGGGAAUUCUCCUCUGGAUUGUGGUAUUUGCGAAAAGAAAUUCCGUUCACGGUUUGUGCUUCAACGUCAUUUGUCGUCACGUGAAACAACAAACUACCAGGAUACAUGAUUUGUUCAUAAAAACUAUUUUUCGUAAAAUAUUAGCACAUGUAGUUUUGAUAGAAAAAAAAACAACAACACAUUUAUAUACAACAGUGAUGUAAUAACAUACUGACAUAAAUGCAUACGUCAUGUUUCAUUUCUAGAUUAAAUGUACAAAAAUAAUAUAUUCCAGUCUUAAGAUAUGAUUACGAUGUAAAAUGUUUUGAACUCAUUAGAAGUUAUAGUAGCUUGUUUAUCCACCUGCGCAAUCUUGUGUCGAUAUAACAUGAUCAUAAUACGAAACAAGGCGAUAAGCUACAUAUGUAAUAUACCCCUUUACGUACAUGCGGCAUAGUUCAUAUUUUGUUUCUGAAACAUAAAACGUCAUUUUUGAACAUCUUAUGAGUCAUACUACUGUGUAUCAAAACAAUAAAUAAUUCGAUACUAACACUAAAACACAUGGACGCUGUACAAUGAGAGUAAAACUGAGAUAAAAUGUUUAACUCAUUUAUGUUACAGUGUAACAUCUGCUGAAACAUGAAUGUAGUUCCCAUCAUUUUAUCACGGGCUUAAUUUUGUGGUUUAAAGUUUCUGAUUGGAAAAUUGAAUGGUUUUAAACAGUAAGAAGAAGUACCACAUACAACUUCGGAAAAGGCAAAACCCAAGUUGCACGGUAUCCAGAAAAAUGUAAUCUUGGACACAAGCAACUUUAUUACGGCAAAAUUGAAAACAGUAGAGUUGACAUUUAAAUUUGUGGUGGCAAUCAACAAAAAACAUCAUAAUUAUGUUUGUUUAUUUUCAAAUAAGACUGAUUUAAUUACAGCCGAACAUUUUCUUGUUAUAGCUUAUCAAUUUCAAUUCACUGUAUACAGCGUAACUGUUGCGCUGUAUUUUACUUUGUGAGUUCGCUCAAAAUAUAGUCUUAGUGGACUCAUCAACUCUGUAAUGUGACUUAACUGGCCGAACACCUCUUCGUAUAUCAUUCAAUUUUCUUAAUGUUCCAUUCUUUGGUACGCUUCCUUUCCUUCGGUUAAACUCGUGAUCUCUGCAUAAAAAGUAACACUGUUAAUUUGUGUAAUAUAUUACAAUAGUAAUGCAAAAUAAAUAUAAUAUAAAGAACUGAACAGUAUGUAUUGUAUGUACAGUAAUGAAAAUAAAUCUGUAAUAAAAAAAGUUGCAAAUUGCAGAUGUGGUGCAUAUUUCACAGGGCGUGUAGGUCUAGUAAAAUUAGAUCUAUACAUUUUGAAUGAAAAUUAUUCAAGAUAUAGAUAUAUUUAACAAUGCCUUUACUUCUAAUAUAUGACAAAACGCAUGAUUUGCCGUUCUAACUUUAAAAUAUAGCGGGGACAAUAUACUAUAGCUAUAACCUUUUUACAACGCCUGCGUACUAUGAAAAAGUUUCCAGCUACGCGCCUGAAUUGCUGUUAGAUAUUUUUCUCCAUGGCAUUUACAUAAUUAUGCCCUCCAAUUGUUUUUUUUCUAAUUUCUUGUUAAUUUAUCCAAGAAGUAAUUCAGUGCUAUGCAUUCCAUCGGUCUGAGUAACGAUAAUUUCCAGAGCAUCAACUUUCUUUCACAGGAUACACAAAACUGAAUAAUAAAAGAUAAUAGGUAAGGGUAGAUAUCUCGGAAGCACAGGGCACUUGACGGGCCGCAAUAGUUUCAUUUCAUUACUGACGUAGAUAACAAAUGACGUCACGUACAUACUGUGUAGUACUUGGAAAUAGUUGCAGCCAUGUUUAUACUAAUGUCAGUUGCGAUAAAAUGUGAUAAAUGGACUUUGGAAAUAACUAUGUUAUUGGAGAUUUCGUGAAAAACGUAUUCGUGUUACAUUGUAACUUCGGCAAUCGGACAUUCAGCUUCUAAAAUGUGUCAGAAUGGUGUAUCAAGAACAAAAAUUCAACGUCAUUUGCCUUCAAAAUCGCCGUUUAACAAAUCGAAUCGAGGCGCAAAGUUGCCAACCUGGAUCUCUUUCAGAGAUCUACGAUCUUUUCAAGAGAUCUACAUUUAACCUGCACAUAUAUUUCGUUGAUAGAGCUUCAAGCACCUGUGGUUAAAGUGACACAAGAGCCACAAUAUGACGUUGAGUUCUGAAUAAUCUUAUUUCGUGCAAAGCCUAAACGAUAGACUUUGACAAAAAACUAACAUACACAUUUUCUGUCGACUGGAGGAAUAAAAUUACGGGGUCACCGAACUAAUUUUCCCGUAAUACUAUAGUACCACGUUACGUUACCCCUACUCGAACUUACAAGAUAAUUUAAUUUAGACUUUUCCCCUCAUAUAUCUUAGCCUCAUUCAUCAGAGUUUCGGCAUAGAUGUGAAACGAAGCAUGGCUCAUGAGAAAAAGAGAUCUUAAAAGUGUAUAGGUCGCGGUCUCAGUGCGACAACUGUGCGUAUAUACUAAUCGUGUUAUUAUUGAAAUCCGCUUUGAAUAUAUUUUUUUCUGUAUAAUAAAGAUUAUGUUUUCAUCUUUUCCUUAUUCAAAGUACCAGUGAAUAAGUUUUCCGUUCUCGUACAUUGCUAAAAAAGAAUUUAUGCAUUUUCAGUUUUGAGAAGAUUAAACCCAUUGAUUUUUCGCACGAGUAAAAAAUAUUUUAUAUAGCGCAAAGAAGUUUAUUCAUAUUAAUGGUAAAAGUAUUAUAGACAUUUUAGCUUUGCAAACGAUGUGAUGAUAUUAAAAAUAUUUAUUGUGUUUCUAAUGAAUAUUUUAAAAAGGAAAUGGACUUUAUGUCUAGUAAUGUAGUAAAAUACGGAUAAUUUGCUGGAA
rnacentral:lncRNA from 1 species